UCUCUUCCCAAUACUCGACGUCUCCCCUUUGAAUAUUAUCGUUGCAGAGGCGACUUGUGUAAAAAAAAUGGGUCAACGAUCUUCAAAAAAUGAGCACAUCUUUACAUAUAGCCCGAAAAGGCGGUGACAGAGGAAUACCAAUUACACGUCUUAACGAAGUAUUCUUUUAAUUAAAUGUUGAAUUUUAGACUUGCUCAAAAUGAGGGAUACGGAGUUAGACGGCAGAUUUGUAAUAUCCAAACUAAAAACAUUCAUAUAUCUCAUUCUAACUUCCUGAGAUUUAGAUUGACGAGAUUUUCUUGAUUAAAAUGAAAUGAAAUACGGCAGUAUUCGUAUUACUUAUUACAUGAAUUUUACUUUCAAUGUUUUUUUUUUUAUAUUCUUGCAUAGUGUGUGCAUUUUGUAGCUUCAUAUUUUCUAUAAAUGCAUAAAAGUCCGCAGUCUACUUAUACACGAAUUACGUCUGAAUCGGACGAGUCGAAAAGUUGUUCAACGAAAAAAUCUAUUUCUUCCAACAUGAUUACAAAAGAAUACUCUCAGAGAAACUCGAUAUUUAAAUCCCCAACGGCUGGUCGCUCGACCUGACGAGUGUUCCGUAUGUUUAUCGCAACAGUCUUAAUCAUUCAAUUAAAAUUUGUUUAUGCGAUCGAAGACCUUGUCUCUGUUUCGAGAAAAUACAGUGCAUAUAAGUUAAUCUGAAUACUUGAUACCGCGAUACUUCUAAACCACAUCCAGGGGAAAUUUAAACAAUAAGACCUUCGUAAGCUUAGCCAUGUGCACGUAUGUGUUGGCGAUGCUUCUUCAUCGAUCACUAUUACUUAUGUAAGUAGAUUAGUGGAUUAUGACAUAUACAGAAUAUUGUAAAAAGUGUAGAGGCGGAUAAAUGGCAACAGACCGAGGUUUUUGUCAUCAUUUUAAUGUUUGAAAUUCUUCAUUUCAUACAAAUUAAGUGGGGGCAUUAUAAUACAAACUUAAAAUAUAUACAUCGAUAUUUCGUGAAACUUCUCAAACAGCUAUGCAACUCAUCCAUCAAUCCGUAAAUCUAUAGAUCUCUUUUCGUAUUAUCGAUUUGCUUUCUUUCUUUUCGCGUAUGAUUUUCAUUCUCUCUCGAACUUACUUCGUAAUGUACCGUGCAACGAAACUGGCAAGUCGUUGGAAUAAAUAUUAUUCUUUUUUUUAUUUCUUUUUUUUU